GCAGAAGAAAAUGAUGUCUUUCUGGUUUCCUAUCCAAACUCUGGCAUUCACUGGGAUGCAGACGUCAUUGCGAACAUUCCCAACAUAGAAUUACUCUAACAUCUCCUAUUGAAUUGGGAGACAUUUCUAAAUUUGAAGAGCUAAAAUUGUAUUGUAACAGAAGAAUAAUUCCAAUGCCUUUGAGCUAUGACAUAUGCCACCCAGGAAUAUUAAACAAAUGGAAUGCAAGAUUUUCUACAUCAUUAGGAAUCCAAAAGACACAGCUCUUUAUUUAUGCCACUACUACAGAGAUAACCCUAAUCUCACCUGCAUUAAAACAUGGGCUACAAUUCUAAAGCCAUUCCUAAGAGGAAAUAUUGUAUAUGGAUCCUGGUUUGAUCAUAUUUAAGGAAAGAGUACAAGAGUGACAAAAAAAUUAUAUUUCAUGAAGAAAUGAAAAAAAGAUCUUUCUGAAAGCAUAAAGAAAAUAACUACUUUCCUCAGUAUAAACGUGAAAUUAAUAAAAUUGCUUAGAAAAUAUCAUUCAGUGAAAUGAGAAAUGACGCAGCCAAGGAAAAUUGUGAUCCAAAUCAUACCAUCUGUGCCUCACAUCUAGCAGGAACCUGGUAUUUAGGAAAG
rnacentral:sRNA from 1 species